rnacentral:rRNA from 1 species
GAGCCGCGAAUAGCUCAUUACAACAGCCGUUGUUUCUUAGACCUCCUAAAUACUUGGAUAACUGUGGUAAUUCUAGAGCUAAUACACGCAACAGAGCUCCGACCGAAAGGGACGAGCGCAUUUAUUAGAACAAAACCAAUCGGCGCUUCGGUGCUGACGUUUGGUGACUCUGAAUAACUGAGCAGAUCGCUUCGGUCUUGUACCGGCGACAUAUCUUUCAAGUGUCUGCCUUAUCAAGUUUCGAUGUUAGGUUAUGUUCCUAACAUGCUUUUAACGGGUAACGGAAAAUCAGGGUUUGAUUCCGGAGAGGGAGCCUGAGAAACGGCUACCACUUCUAAGGAAGGCAGCAGGCGCGCAAAUUACCCACUCUCAGAUCGAGGAGGUAGUGACGAAAAAUAACGAGACGGUUCUCUCGUGAGUACCGUCAUCGGAAUGAGAACAAUCUAAACCCUUUAACGAGGACCUAGCGGAGGGCAAGUCUGGUGCCAGCAGCCGCGGUAAUUCCAGCUCCGCCAGUGUAUAUCUAUGCUGCUGCGGUUAAAAAGCUCGUAGUUGGAUCAGCGUGCUAGGAGCCGGUCCGCCUUCUCGGUGUGCACUGGUCUCCGGCACUGAACCGUUGGUUUUCUCUUGAUGCCUUUAACCGGGUGUCCUGAGUGGCCGACAAGUUUACUUUGAAAAAAUUAGAGUGCUUAAAACAGGCGUUUCGCUUGAAUAUAUGUGCAUGGAAUAAUAGAAUAGGACCUUGGUUCUAUUUUGUUGG